GACGAACCGUCCAAACGUUAUUCGGAAUCACUGGGCUUACAGAGCUCGUAGGCGGUCUGUUACGUCCGCUGUGAAAUCCCAGGGCUUAACCCUGGGCUUGCAGUGGAUACGGGCAGACUAGAGGUAGGUAGGGGAGAAUGGAAUUCCCGGUGUAGCGGUGAAAUGCGCAGAUAUCGGGAGGAACACCGGUGGCGAAGGCGGUUCUCUGGGCCUUACCUGACGCUGAGGAGCGAAAGCGUGGGGAGCGAACAGG
rnacentral:rRNA from 1 species